rnacentral:miRNA from 1 species
GUCACUAGAUCAGGGCUGUCCAACCUGCGGCCCCCCCAGAUGUUGCUGAACUACAACUCCCAUGAUUCUUUCAAUUAAAAAGAUAGCCAGGGAAUCAUGGGAGUUGUAGUUCAGCAACAUCUGGGGGGCCGCAGGUUGGACAGCCCUGCACUAGAUGGU